GCUGGCGACCGGCAAACGGGUGCGGAACACGUACACAACCUUCCUUGAAUAGGGGGAUAGCCCAUAGAAAUGUGGAUUAAUACCCCGUAAUAUAGCGGUGUGGCAUCACACUGUUAUUAUAGUUUCCGCGAUUCGAGAUGGGUGUGCGGCUGAUUAGGUAGUUGGCGGGGUAAAGGCCCACCAAGCCUUCGAUCAGUAGCUGAUGUGAGAGCAUGAUCAGCCACACGGGCACUGAGACACGGGCCCGACUCCUACGGGAGGCAGCAGUAAGGAAUAUUGGUCAAUGGACGCAAGUCUGAACCAGCCAUGCCGCGUGAAGGAUGAAGGUCCUCUGGAUUGUAAACUUCUUUUAUAGGGGGCGAAAAAAGGUCUUUCUAGAUCACUUGACAGUACCCUAUGAAUAAGCACCGGCUAACUCCGUGCCAGCAGCCGCGGUAAUACGGAGGGUGCAAGCGUUAUCCGGGUUCACUGGGUUUAAAGGGUGCGUAGGCGGGUAGGUAAGUCAGAGGUGAAAUCCUGGAGCUUAACUCCAGAACUGCCUUUGAUACUAUCUUUCUUGAAUAUGGUGGAGGUAAGCGGAAUAUGUCAUGUAGCGGUGAAAUGCAUAGAUAUGACAUAGAACACCUAUUGCGAAGGCAGCUUACUACGCCUAUAUUGACGCUGAGGCACGAAAGCGUGGGGAUCAAACAGGAUUAGAUACCCUGGUAGUC
rnacentral:rRNA from 1 species